rnacentral:tRNA from 1 species
GGUAGGAUGGUCGAAAGAUUAGGCGUGGGGUUGUAAACCCCAAAAUAGAGGUUUAAGUCCUCUUCCUCCCA